GGGGAUAUAGCACAGUUGGUAGCGCGAUACGUUCGCAACGUAUAGGUCAGGGGUUCGAGUCCCCUUAUCUCCACCA
rnacentral:tRNA from 1 species